AGUGAACGCUGGCGGUAGGCCUAACACAUGCAAGUCGAACGGCAGCACAGUAAGAGCUUGCUCUUACGGGUGGCGAGUGGCGGACGGGUGAGGAAUACAUCGGAAUCUACUUUUUCGUGGGGGAUAACGUAGGGAAACUUACGCUAAUACCGCAUACGACCUACGGGUGAAAGCAGGAGAUCUUCGGACCUUGCGCGAUUGAAUGAGCCGAUGUCGGAUUAGCUAGUUGGCGGGGUAAAGGCCCACCAAGGCGACGAUCCGUAGCUGGUCUGAGAGGAUGAUCAGCCACACUGGAACUGAGACACGGUCCAGACUCCUACGGGAGGCAGCAGUGGGGAAUAUUGGACAAAGGGCGCAAGCCUGAUCCAGCCAUACCGCGUGAGUGAAGAAGGCCUUCGGGUUGUAAAGCCCUUUUGUUGGGAAAGAAAAGCAGCAGGUUAAUACCCCGCUGUUCUGACGGUACCCAAAGAAUAAGCACCGGCUAACUUCGUG
rnacentral:rRNA from 1 species